rnacentral:rRNA from 1 species
GACGAACGCUGGCGGCGUGCUUAACACAUGCAAGUCGAACGGAGUGGCGAACGGGUGAGUAACACGUGGGUGAUCUGCCUUGCACUUCGGGAUAAGCUUGGGAAACUGGGUCUAAUACCGGAUAGUGCAAGAUGAGCUCUCGGCCUAUCUGCUUGUUGGUGGGGUAAUGGCCUACCAAGGCGUCGAAGGGUAGCCGGCCUGAGAGGGUGUACGGCGACAUUGGGACUAAAAUACGGGCCAGACUGCUAUGGGGGGCAGCAGUGGGGAAUAUUGCACAAUGGGCGGAAGCAUGUUGCAGCGACGCCGAGGGGGGGAUGAAGGCCUUCGGAUUGUAAACUCCUUUCGACGGGGACGCGGUACCUGAAUAAGAAGCACCGGCUAACUACGUGCCAGCAGCCGCGGUAAUAC